rnacentral:rRNA from 1 species
GUGCCAGCAGCCGCGGUAAUACGGAGGAUGCAAGCGUUAUCCGGAUUUAUUGGGUUUAAAGGCUGCGUAGCUGUUCUGCAAGUCAGCGGUGAAAUGCCCGGGCCUAACCUGGGAACUGCCGUUGAUACUGCGGACUGGAAUACGGAUGCCGUGGGAGGAAUGAGUAGUGUAGCGGUGAAAUGCAUAGAUAUUACUCAGAACACCGAUUGCGAAGGCAUCUCACGAAUCCGUCAUUGACGCUGAGGCACGAAAGCGUGGGGAUCAAACAGGAUUAGAUACCCUGGUAGUCCACGCAGUAAACGAUGAUAACUAACCGUCGGCGAUAGACAGUCGGUGGCCAAGCGAAAGCGAUAAGUUAUCCACCUGGGGAGUACGUUCGCAAGAAUGAAACUCAAAGGAAUUGACGGGGGCCCGCACAAGCGGAGGAACAUGUGGUUUAAUUCGAUGAUACGCGAGGAACCUUACCCGGGCUCGAACGGCUAGUGAAGCGAUGCAGAGAUGCUGACGUCCUUCGGGACACUAGUCGAGGUGCUGCAUGGUUGUCGUCAGCUCGUGUCGUGAGAUGUUGGCUUAAGUGCCAUAACGAGCGCAACCCUUGCUGUUAAGUUACCAUCAUCAAGUUGGGGACUCUAACAGGACUGCCACCGCAAGGUGAGAGGAAGGCGGGGAUGACGUCAAAUCAGCACGGCCCUUACGUCCGGGGCGACACACGUGUUACAAUGGGGGGUACAGAGAGCUGCUGGCUGGUGACAGUCGGCCAAUCUACAAAACGCCUUCUCAGUUCGGAUUGGAGUCUGCAACUCGACUCCAUGAAGCUGGAUUCGUAGUAAUCGCGCAUCAGCCAUGGCGCGGUGAAUACGUUCCCGGGCCUGCACACACCGCCCGU